rnacentral:lncRNA from 1 species
CUGGCAAGGAAAUUUGUUUGGGCCAAAAGUAGGCGAAAAACAAGUCAAAGAUUAAAAACAAACGCAUGAAAAAAAUACACAGAAAUACAUAUACAAUGUACACUAUAUAGAGACGGGAAUCCCCCCUUGGUUUUUGUUGCUGCUGUUUGUGUUGUGCUAUUUUUAUGAGGCCGUCAGUAGGCGCCAGGAUUCCUGCUUCCUUGCGUAGGCCCAAUAGUUCUUCCCUUCGCUUCGCUUCGGAUUACUUCAGUCAGCGAUUUUCGCCUUCCUUCACUUGCACAUUUUCAUGCGGCCUGAUUGGAUUGGAUUGGUUUCCUCUUGGUUCUGGGAUUGCUAGGCACUUCCUUUCCCUUGCGUUGACUUGUUUUUCACAUAAUUUUCUCUGCUGUUGUUCUCCCUC